GGUCUGACCAAAGUGACUUUGUUGACGUUUUGCUGCCUGAAUGUUAGCGUUAGCAUUUGUGCUUUCAGUGGGGAGUUCUUGGCUUUGUGGGUCUUCUGUUGUUUUUCAUAUUUUUCCCUGAAAAUCCUUAGAUUCAGUUGAGGUUCUUUGUCUUUUGAUGAGGCUUGACUCUGAGUCAUUGUCGCCUUUCCUCCCUCCCUGACCUGUUUACCACACACGCCCGUGGAGGCAAUGCUCGUUAGCACAGCUUCGCCGCACAGGCGCUGAAUGAGGCGGCUUGUUGACACACACAAUGGGAUCAACAAAACACAAACAAC